AAGGAGGAUCAAAGCGUUAUACGGAUUUAUUGGGUUUAAAGGGUGCGUAGGCGGCCUAUUAAGUGAGGGGUGAAAGACGGUAAUUAAACUAUAGCAGAGAACCUGAUACUGAAGGGCUUUAAUGAAAUAGAGGCAGUCGGAAUGUUACAAAGAGCGGUUAAAUGCAUACAUAUGUCACAGAACCUCUAUUUCGAAGACAGCUUACUAUAGGUUUAUCCACUUUAGGGCACGUAAGCGUGUGGAUCAAACAG
rnacentral:rRNA from 1 species